rnacentral:rRNA from 1 species
UACGAAGGGGGCUAGCGUUGUUCGGAAUUACUGGGCGUAAAGCGCACGUAGGCGGGCGAUUAAGUCAGGGGUGAAAUCCCGGAGCUCAACUCCGGAACUGCCUUUGAUACUGGUCGUCUAGAGAUCGGAAGAGGUGAGUGGAAUUCCCAGUGUAGAGGUGAAAUUCGUAGAUAUUGGGAAGAACACCAGUGGCGAAGGCGGCUCACUGGACCGGUACUGACGCUGAUGCGCGAAAGCGUGGGGAGCAAACGGG